UUUUUUAUAGCUUAAAGGUAAAAGCGGUUAGCUGUUAACUAAAAGAUAUAGGUUCAAUUCCUAUUAAGAAAG
rnacentral:tRNA from 1 species